CUGAAAAUCACGAACUCAGAGCUCAGAAUCCGACUUUUUUUUUUCACUCACAGUACACACUCCCAGCCGGGCGGAACACGGUGCAGACAGCUCGCAUCACGUACGAAUGCAUAUACAUCGCAGUAGUAGUUACAAAAAAGAGGUACUCGCUGAGCCGGGGCACGCGUGUUCCCGCCACAAGUUUAACCACGGCGAUCGAUCGCCGCCAUGGCCGGCUUGGCUGGGGAUCUUGAAGGCCUACCUGCCGCGGAGGAGCGCC
rnacentral:lncRNA from 1 species